rnacentral:rRNA from 1 species
UACGAGGGGGGCAAGCGUUGUUCGGAAUUACUGGGCGUAAAGCGCACGUAGGCGGAUAUUUAAGUCAGGGGUGAAAUCCCAGAGCUCAACUCUGGAACUGCCUUUGAUACUGGGUAUCUUGAGUAUGGAAGAGGUAAGUGGAAUUCCGAGUGUAGAGGUGAAAUUCGUAGAUAUUCGGAGGAACACCAGUGGCGAAGGCGGCUUGCUGGUCCAUUACUGACGCUGAGGUGCGAAAGCGUGGGGAGCAAACAGG